GAUACGUAGUGUGAAUUGCAGAAUUCCGCGAAUCAUCGAGUCUUUGAACGCAAGUUGCGCCCGAGGCUCGUCCGAGGGCAUUUCCGCUAGAGCGUC
rnacentral:rRNA from 1 species